AACCUGCGGAGGGAUCAUUACAGAGUUAUCUAAACUCCCAAACCCAUGUGAACAUACCUCGCGUUGCCUCGGCAGGUGGCGUCCUACCCCGUGAUACCUACCCUGUAGGACCUACCCGGUAGGCGACCCUGCCGACGGCCCCCGAAACUCUGUUUUUAUAGCAUUGGACUUCUGAAAAGAUAACUAAAUAAGUUAAAACUUUCAACAACGGAUCUCUUGGUUCUGGCAUCGAUGAAGAACGCAGCGAAAUGCGAUAAGUAAUGUGAAUUGCAGAAUUCAGUGAAUCAUCGAAUCUUUGAACGCACAUUGCGCCCACUAGUAUUCUGGUGGGCAUGCCUGUUCGAGCGUCAUUUCAACCCUUAAGCCCCCGUUGCUUAGUGUUGGGAGCCUACUGGAACUCUCCUGUAGCUCCCCAAAGUCAGUGGCGGAGCCGGUUCGCACUCCAGACGUAGUAGCUUUUACACAUCGCCUGUAGCUUGGACCCGGUCCCCUGCCGUAAAACACCCCCCAAUUUUAUAGGUUGACCUCGG
rnacentral:rRNA from 1 species